rnacentral:rRNA from 1 species
CAGCAGCCGCGGUAAUGCGAGGGGUGCAAGCGUUAUUCGGAUUGAUUGGGUGUAAAGGGUGUGCAGACGGCUUAUUAAGUCACUUGUUAAAUUCUUCGGCCUAACUGAAGGUCUGCAAGUGAUACUGAAGAGCUAGAGGGUGGAAGAGAGAAGUGGAAUUCUCGGAGUAGCGGUAAAAUGCGUAGAUCUCGAGAGGAACACCAAUGGCGAAGGCAGCUUCUUGGUCCAUUCCUGACGUUCAUACACGAAAGCGUGGGGAGCAAACAGGAUUAGAUACCCCGGUAGUCCCUGUCUCUUAUAA